AAUAACCGACUCGUCCCAAGUUAGUUUGGGUCGCCCUCUACCUCUCUUAACAUUAUUGGCCCGCUGUAGAACCCCACUACGCACCGGCGCCUCAGGAGGCCUCCGUUGGACAUGUCCGAACCAUCUCAACCGAUGUUGCGUCAAUUUCUCCUCAAUUGGUGCCACUCCGACUCUAUCUCGAAUAUCUUCAUUCUGUAUCCUAUCCCUUCUUGUGUGACCACAAAACCAACGCAACAUACGCAUCUCUG
rnacentral:misc_RNA from 1 species